UACGGAGGGUGCAAGCGUUAUCCGGAUUCACUGGGUUUAAAGGGUGCGUAGGUGGGCAGGUAAGCCAGUGGUGAAAUCUCUGGGCUUAACUCAGAAACUGCCGUUGAUACUAUCUGUCUUGAAUAUAGUGGAGGUGAGCGGAAUAUGUCAUGUAGCGGUGAAAUGCUUAGAUAUGACAUAGAACACCCAUUGCGAAGGCAGCUCGCUACACUAUCAUUGACACUGAGGCACGAAAGCGUGGGGAUCAAACAGG
rnacentral:rRNA from 1 species